GGGGAUCGAAAGACCUUGCGCUUUGGGAGCGGCCGAUGUCUGAUUAGCUAGUUGGUGGGGUAAAGGCCUACCAAGGCGACGAUCAGUAGUUGGUCUGAGAGGACGACCAGCCACACUGGGACUGAGACACGGCCCAGACUCCUACGGGAGGCAGCAGUGGGGAAUUUUGGACAAUGGGCGCAAGCCUGAUCCAGCAAUGCCGCGUGAGUGAAGAAGGCCUUCGGGUUGUAAAGCUCUUUCAGUCGAGAAGAAAAGACUGCAGUGAAUAACUGCAGUUCAUGACGGUAUCGACAGAAGAAGCACCGGCUAACUACGUGCCAGCAGCCGCGGUAAUACGUAGGGUGCGAGCGUUAAUCGGAAUUA
rnacentral:rRNA from 1 species